UAUCAUUCGAAAUAAUGCAAGAUGGAAUAAAUGAUGUUGCCCAUUGAAUUAUUUCUCUGUUUUGUGUAAAGCUCUAACCACGUUUAAUCGAACCGCAUGAUCAAAUAUAUCUACGAUUCCGCGCAAGGAACUGCCACUGAAAUAGCACUGUCCCGCAAAUACACACCAAUGUUUGGUAUAUAUAUUGUAUAUUGGUGCCGGUGCAAAGUUUUCGCGAAUCAAAAUAGCGUUCGGUUUUACGCGAGGCUGACAGCACUUCGUCACGUGCUUCGUUUAAUGGAACUCGCUCUAAGAGUUAUUUCAAACUUAUGUGUCAUGCAUUCUAGUUGCGCACAAAUAUAACUCCGUGCACCGCGCGUGUGCUGGUGCACGACCGUACAGGGGAAAACGUGUCCGAUCGGCGACGAUUUCGCACGCGAGUUUGCGCAUUCUUCUUCAUGAGCCGAAGAAAUGAUCGGAAGUACAGGUGCUCGCAACAGGCGGCUUGGACGAGUCAAAAGAAGGUGUGCCCGAAUUGCGGCAUGGCGAGUAUAUACCAUCGAUACUCGGAGAGAGAACGAUACUCGACAAAGGCACGUGGACAUACAGGUAACGAUGCAUCCGUCUGUUGGCAGUAUAGGCGCGUGAACACGAUUAUAGAACGUGCGAGGACGGCAGGUGAAACCCACCAAUUGCUGCUGUUUUAUCCAUGUGUCUUUAAGAACGUGAAAUAAUAAAGAAAGAUCAAUAGAAGGAUGAACAACGGGUAAGAAGGAGAAGAAUAGAUCAUCCGUUUUGGUAUCUAGAAUGACGGAUAUCCGGAUAUCCAAUUACUGAAUUCACUCAAGAGACGUUGAUAAAUAUAUAGAUAUCUGCAAAAGAUGGUUAUUCAACGAUAUUUGGCGAUCGUUUGAUGAAAAAUUGAAGAAAUAGUUAAAUCAAUUUUUCAGUAAAUCGAAGUAAAAAUAGAAUGUCAAAAAACUGUUCUAUUUUUUCCGAAAUUACAAUUUAAUAACGUUUAUUUGAAACGAGAAAAUUAUAACGAAAAUGAAGGAUUUGUUUAAUAAGCACAAACUAUAUAAAUACGUAUGAUAAUAAUAAUUCCCAAUUUAUGAUGUAUUUUGUGUACAUUAUAUAAUAAACUAAUUUGUGUAUUUACGAAAAUUACACAAGAGAUAUUAAAAACUAUCUAAUACAAAUACAAAUAAUUAUAUAUCAUAAAUUACAAAUUAUUAUCAUGUUUAUUUUUUUUUUUUUUUUUUUUGAAUUUUUGUAAUGAUUAAAUUAAAUUAAAAUAUUUUAUAUUUUAUACUGAAAAAAAUUAUAGACGUAUUAAUUUUUCAGUAUAUUCAUACAUUAGAUAAGUUAAAGAAUUUGAAAAUUUAAUAUAUAUUCAAAUAUAUAUAUUAUUUGUUAUAUUUAAUCUUUUUUAUUAUAGAUCAAUUAAAUUGAUAUUUUGAUAUUUAUUUCAAAUAAAUAAAAAAUUAUAUAUACAAUUAUAUAUACAAAAUUAUUGGAUAUAUUAAUUUUUAAUUAUAAAUCAAUGUUAUUACGAGACAAUUUAUAAAUAAUAUUAAUAAUAAAAUUUAUUUUAUAUUUAUUGUGAAUAUGGACUUAAAAUAUAAGUAUUGUAUGUGUUAAUUUUUUUAAUGAAAAUUUAUAUAAAAAGAAAAUACAACAUUUAUAACAUUACUUUAUACUUAAAAAGAAUAAAAAAUUAUAUUAAAGAUAAGAACAAAUAAAAUUAUAUAAUGUCAUAAGGAAA